UGCGCAGGCGGACUUUUAAGUCAGUGGUGAAAUCCCGAGGCUCAACCUCGGAACUGCCAUUGAUACUGGGAGUCUUGAAUUUGGUUGAAGUGGGCGGAAUGUAGCAUGUAGCGGUGAAAUGCUUAGAUAUGCUACAGAACACCGAUCGCGAAGGCAGCUCACUAAGCCAAUAUUGACGCUCAGGCACGAAAGCGUGGGGAGCAAACAGGAUUAGAUACCCUGGUAGUCC
rnacentral:rRNA from 1 species